GAAUUGGAGCCAGCCAGAGUCACCCCAGCAUCGGACCGUGUGCUGUGGCAGAGAGCAAGAGGCACCCUCAGGCUUCCGAAAUUAGAGGCGGUCAGGUAGUCCUUUAUCUUCACAUCUAUGGAACUGGUAAUUCGAGCAGAGAUUCUUUAGAACAGGAAAAUUUUUAAGGAAGGAAACAAAUCUGGAUAAUUGUUAGUCAAAAUUAUCAGCUAGAAAAAGAAUUUAGGACAAAGAUUUGCUGUCUUAAAAGACUCAACUUACUUCCAUCCCAAAGUUGGAAUGCUAGACACUUUUCAAAGUUUUCUAAAUGUAUCAAGUUCUUCAGCACUAAGAAAAAAAAUGUUGUCGCUGCAUUUCUUAAGGUUUAACCCCCCAGGGAUAACACAUAAUUAUAAGAUGCAUUUAAAUAAUUGUUUUCUCCAUGUUUCCAUUACGUGGCAGAAAAUAUAUAGAGGAUGUCACAAAAAAGGUAAACUUACAAAUUGCGGCAUUAAGCCACGGUUUGCAAAUUGGGCAACAACAUUCUUUACUUAAAAUAAUAAACUCAUUUUUAAUAAUAUAAGCAUUGAGAAUAAUAGUCAAAUAAUAUUGUGUUAAGACUUGUUCACAUUAGGAUUAUUCAUCUUAUGAUUCUCAAACCAAAAUCUAAAUCAAAGCUACUGUAUAUGCAGAUCAUUUGAACAAAUAUAAAUAUCCUACAUCACCUCUGACAAACAACAGUCUAUAUAUUUCUGUACCCAAUGAGAUAUCAAAUCCUGAACUGUUCUAUAUUUGUUAUCUCCCUAGAAGCAUUCCUCUAUGCUCAAUAUCACUAACUUUCAAGGCCAGCAAGAGAAGACAGUUUUCUUCUGAGGGUGGGGCAGUCUGGAUCAGUACAUUUCUGUAUAAGCACUUAAAACAUUCCCUCUUUCUUUCUUUCUUUCUCUUUCUUUUUCUUUCUUUUUCUUUCUCCCCUUUUUGCUUUUUUCAUUCAAAUCUCCAUGAAGUGAAGCAUAAUAUUGGAAAUAUCAGGGUGGCCAGAAAGCUUAUCAACAACCUGAAACUCCCCCUUCCAAAUUUUAUUGGUAUAAGUUACCAUGUUGAAAUUAAAACCCAACCUUGGCCUGGAGUCUCAGAUGAAUUAUUUUUAUAGUAUUUGACUAGAGGGAACUAUCAAGAAGAAAUUAACUCUUAUGGUAGAUGUCAUUCUCGCCAGGAAGGUCUCAAUAACCUAGAUGACUGCGUAACUAUCUACAUUUAUUCAGGGGGGUGUUUUUAAAACUUCUUUAGUCUUUGCGGUUGUUGUGUGAAGAUGAUUAUUCCUGGAUGACAGCCAAAACUAUUAUUGCUAUAUUCUUCAUCUGUUUCAAAUGUGUCACCAGGCACUUGUAAAAUCCAUUCCUUGUUUUGUUAUAUGACUCCGUGACCUGGGAUAAUGGGCACUCAUUGCUUUUUUUUUUUUUUUUGACCCUCAAAAAACUUUUUUUUUUCUAUCUAAAAGAAUUCUCCUAGCAAAAAUGUAAAUAAACACCUGAGUAUGGAGGUGUCCCAUUUUAUGAGCAUAUAUGAAAUACUUUGGAUUCAGCUAGACUGCAAGAAAGGGAAAGGAUAGAAACUGGGAAGAUGAAAAGAGACAGAAAAGUCAAACUUUACCUACAUUAAGAUUAUGUCUGUAGCCCAACCCUGUUCAUCCCAAAGACGGCUGAAAAAAGAUGAAAUGAUCGAUUUUUUAAAUACGGUAUUCAUAUUUAAUAGAAUGUCAUAAAAUUCAUCAUGUCAAAACUUUGAUAAAUGAGAAACUUAAAAAUAUAUGCUCUUCAGAAUGAAUCUAUUUAACUUUUUUUAACGUUUAUUUAUUAUUGAGAGACAGAGGGAGACAGAGCAGGAGCAUGGGAGGGGCAGAGAGAGGGGAGACACAGAAUCCGAAGCAGGCUCCAGGUUCUGAGAUGUCUGCACAGAGCCCAAUGCGGUGCUCAAACUCACAAACCGGGAGAUCAUGACCUGAGCCAAAGUCAGACGCUCAACUGACUGAGCCAACCAGGCGCCCCAGGAUGAAUCUAUUUAAAAGUACAAGAACUUUUUGCUUCAUACAUGCCCACCCCAAGAAUUUGUGUUGUCUUGGGAAAAUGUGGUAUUAUGUCUUUAAACACUAUUUGCCGUAUGUCCUAAUUAAACAUUAGUAUAGUCUUAAUGAGAAACAGUGAAAGGGUCCCCAUAUUGAGUGUGGCUGUCGCUUGUGCAUCAGUGGAAUUUGAUAUUGUUUCUCAGGAAGACUCUUGGCAAGAGUAAAGUGAAUGGCCUGUGUACAGGGAUUAUGUGCAGUAAGCUAAUUAAAGAUUGCCAGCUUCUCUUUUUAUCCUUUUCGUUCUUUCUCUCUCUCCCUCUCUCCCUUCUUCUCUCCUUCUUUCCUUCCUUCCUUCCUUCUUCUCUUUCUCUGUAGCUCUUAUGAAAGAUGUAAAAAUAGUAUUUCACUAUUGGCUGGGGUUUCUCUUUUUCACUUUCAUGCCACUGAGCACAAUGUGGAUUCAGGAGGUAAGGAAAAGGAGAACAUGUUAGAUAAAGAUUGUUUGGGGAAAGAAAAGGCUGAGAUAAUUGAGACCUUGGCUUCUCAGUUAACAAAACAGGGGUUUAAAAAUAUGUAUGUAUGUUGUUCUUUCACAAUGAAUUUAAACAUUUCUCAAGUUAUCAGGGUCAAUCUUUUUGGACAUUUUUGCCCCUACAAGGAUCUUCAUUUAGAAGAAUCCUCUUUACUUCUUUACAAAUAGUAAUUUUUUACUUGGGUACCAAGCUCUCAUUGAAAUAGAAAAGAAGAUUUCUCCAUUUGGAGGGAAAUUGUUAUUUUUUUUUUUAAAUUACUUUCCAGUAAGGCAAAUACGCCCAAAUGCUACUUGAUUUUACUGGACUUUUAUUUAGAGAGAACUGUUACACUGUCUUGCUUCCUCUGUAUACCCCUCUGUAACUCAGUUUGGCAUAGCAUGAUGUUUGGGGUUCUCUUUUGAGGGCCUGGAAACAUUUGCUAUCAAUUUUCUAAGUCUACUGUAUUGAAAAAGCAAUAUACAAUGUAUUCCCUGUUUCUUAGCUCUAUGCCUUUGACAUUUAGUAUAUAUUCAGAUAGCUAUUUAUAACCACAAUUUCUACUUAUUCACCAGAAUUAACUAAUUACCAUGUUCUUAAAUACAAAAAGACACAGGUUGGAUCAUCUACAAAUCCCAACCCAAAACCAUUUUUUUUUUUCAGGGAAAAUUCAAUCAUUUCUAGCUAAGUAUUUGAUUCUUAAGGGAAAAGAAGUGAAUUAUUUAAAAGAGUAAAAGUGAGGAAGACAGAAUAUGCCCUUUCAUUUUAGAUAUCCCCAAUACUAUAAUCAUUUGAACAAGUAUUGAGUAAGAUUUAAAGAAUCUUUAAUCUCUGGAACGGAAAAUGUUAUUUUCCUUUUUUGUUACUGUAUUAACAUUACAUUCAAACUAUUUAUCGUUGUCUCCAUGAUAUAAAUGUAUUCAUUACAGAAAAUUUCAUAGAAAUAAUGCAGCCUUUUUUUUUUCAUAGAAAGAUGUGCUUCUGUAAGUCCUUUAUCUUUGAAUUUUCAUUCUCACUUCUCAUUUAGACUUCUUCUUUAUACCCCUCAAGGGUUUUCUAUGUUCAGCCAGUCAGGCCAGAGAAAGGAUAUGAAAACUUGAGAAAAAUUUAACACUUUAAAAGAGUAAAUUUCUAUGUUAAUUGACUUUUAUUUAUUUCAUGCUGACCAAACUAUUGUGAAAUUGUGAAGACACAGGCAGCUACCAUAUAAAUUGAGACUUCAGAAAAUCCAAAUUACUUUCUUCCCAUCAUUUCCAGUGUUAAGAAAGCCUGUGUCUCAAAAUGAUGCACAAGGUCAGUAUUUGUUCAAAUGAACACACAUGACCUUCAGUACCUUUACCGUUUUUAUUUCUUGAGGGAAAUAUGUUUAAUAAUGAUGUAAGAGUAGAAAAAAAAUUGGUUGAGGGAAACAGAAGAAAUUGAGAUCAGAUGAGAGCAGCUGGGACCCACAGUCCCAUUUUCUCCAUGUCUUUGCCUCCUGCUGAGUUGGCAUAUGAGGCCCAGAUUGGUAUUCUACUAAUCACGGUCUCCUUAAAGAAUUUGGGUAGAAGCAAAAAUUACUCCAACUACAUGGACAUUUGUUCACAUCAUUGCAGCAGGUUUUGACUACUGUGAAUACUAGGUUAAGUUCAAAUUAAAAAAAAAAAAUGGUCCAUGGAGAGAAAGAAUUUUUUAUUUUUCUUAGAGAUGGAUAAACAGCUUUUCCCAUAUAAAAGAAAAAAAUCUUCCUGGGAGUUAGGCCUUGGAAAAACUCUGAAGUUUUAUAGCAUCUGCCUGCAACUACAUUAUAUUUCAGUAAUCAAGUGACAGAAUCGUCUCAUUAUGCUUUUAAAAUGUACUGAUUAAGCGCAUUCCAGAAAUAAUACAUAUCAUUCUUCAUCUCAAAAUCAACCUACCUAAAUUCUGACUCUUCAACUGUGAGUAGCCAUUUUACAAAACCAAAGGGUCUCAUUUCCCAAACAGUAUUUUAGAUUAAAAAACUUGCCUGUUCAUUUCAGUGGAUAACUAGCCAGAGCAUUUCCAUCAAACAUUCUGGCACUAUAUAAUAAUCAAUAGGUUUCCCAGCUCAAUAAAAACACAUAGUUAU
rnacentral:lncRNA from 1 species